AAAAAAAAAAAAAAAAAAAGUUGAAUAUUGAAAGAAAAGCACAAAAAUGGAGAACAAGAAUUAAAUCGAGUAUAACUAAGAACGUACAUGGUGUUUGCAUGUUGAAUAUCAGCUUCGAGCGCUUUCAGAGAAUCUUUAAAAGACUUCCUCAUGAGCUCUCUUUUCUUCUCUUAUUCCCAUCCAAUUUAUAAGUAUUUCUCUUCCAAUUUUCUGUCCACUACUCCUAAACACCCCUUGAGAAUCCCUACAACCUAACUCUCAAAAAUCACAAAAUUUCGAUCACACGACCUUUAAAUUCCACAAUUAAAAAACAAAACACAAAAUUCAGAACUAUUUCUUCUCAAAACGACAAAAAAAGACACUGAAUUAUCUAUAUAUUACACUAGCAGUACAAUUUAUGUUUCACGGAUGUGGGAGUUUUAGGUGAAGAAGCCAAAUGAUUUCUUUGAUAUUCUGGAAUUCCGUGGGUGAAUUCUAGUGGGUUUUUGUGGGGGUGGGGGUCACACCGCACAGACUUGCUCGCUCGAGAUUUUCGCUUGAACAGCAAGUCUCAGUAACUGCUAUUUGUUAGACAAUCUAAGGAGCCUUCUUCAUUGGGAUAAAUUCUCUUGAGGUCGCCCAACUUAAAAGUUACUUCCAUAUUGAUCCCUACCUUGUAUUUUUGUUUUAAUUGGAUAGUUUCAUCGAUGGCCGUCGAUCAAAACUUUUAAGAGAUUUCGUAACCAGGCAACAAACAAAAUUAGUGAUCGCAGAUCAACCUCCGUGGUGAGGUUGUGCCCCGUGCCAAAAUUUCAUUAAG
rnacentral:lncRNA from 1 species